rnacentral:rRNA from 1 species
AACGAACGCUGGCGGCAUGCCUAACACAUGCAAGUCGAACGAGACCUUCGGGUCUAGUGGCGCACGGGUGCGUAACACGUGGGAAUCUGCCCUUUGCUUCGGAAUAACAGUUAGAAAUGACUGCUAAUACCGGAUGAUGUCGAAAGACCAAAGAUUUAUCGGCAAAGGAUGAGCCCGCGUAGGAUUAGGUAGUUGGUGGGGUAAAGGCCUACCAAGCCGACGAUCCUUAGCUGGUCUGAGAGGAUGAUCAGCCACACUGGGACUGAGACACGGCCCAGACUCCUACGGGAGGCAGCAGUGGGGAAUAUUGGACAAUGGGCGAAAGCCUGAUCCAGCAAUGCCGCGUGAGUGAUGAAGGCCUUAGGGUUGUAAAGCUCUUUUACCAGGGAUGAUAACGACAGUACCUGGAGAAUAAGCUCCGGCUAACUCCGUG